rnacentral:rRNA from 1 species
GUCGAGCGGGCAUUUUCGGAUGUCAGCGGCAGACGGGUGAGUAACACGUGGGAACGUACCCUUCGGUUCGGAACAACUCUGGGAAACUGGAGCUAAUACCGGAUACGCCCUUNUGGGGAAAGGUUUACUGCCGAAGGAUCGGCCCGCGUCUGAUUAGCUAGUUGGUGGGGUAACGGCCUACCAAGGCGACGAUCAGUAGCUGGUCUGAGAGGAUGAUCAGCCACACUGGGACUGAGACACGGCCCAGACUCCUACGGGAGGCAGCAGUGGGGAAUAUUGGACAAUGGGCGCAAGCCUGAUCCAGCCAUGCCGCGUGAGUGAUGAAGGCCUUAGGGUUGUAAAGCUCUUUUGUCCGGGACGAUAAUGACGGUACCGGAAGAAUAAGCCCCGGCUAACUUCGUGCCAGCAGCCGCGGUAAUACNAAGGGGGCUAGCGUUGCUCGGAAUCACUGGGCGUAAAGGGCGCGUAGGCGGCCAUUCAAGUCGGGGGUGAAAGCCUGUGGCUCAACCACANAAUUGCCUUCGAUACUGUUUGGCUUGAGUAUGGNAGAGGUUGGUGGAACUGCNA